GAGGCGGAGGACUGCGUGCCGCGCGUCUUCUGCGAGCUCGGCCUACACGCCAAGCCAUACCAGUUCGCCGGCAAGGAGCUCCUCAUGAGCCUUGCUGAGCGCUACACUCCCGAACUUCUUCAGAAAAACGUGUCAAUACUGAAGAAGGCGUCAACGGGCGUCUACGACAAGAGGCAGUGCAGGAAGCUGUUCAGGUGUAAUACCCCUGAAGCGGUGUGAGCAGAUAAGCGUGUGUGGAACAGGUCAGCCGAACUCUCGGCUGACGGUCACGAGGCAUAUUACAGGUUGUUGGUUCGUGCGGCCCUAUAUGUACAGAUUUCCUCUGCACCGACCAAUUCGCACAAGAGGGCCUACCUCAACCAAUCACUCGCCUUGAUUGAAACGUGCCAGUUUUCGUUGAAGGCUUGCCACUUUUCCGGAAAGUCUUGAGUCAUGUUGUGAUCGGUAUGUCCCCACUACAGCGUGCAUUACUGUAAUAGUCCCAUUUCGAGCCUUUACAGCUUACUGAUGCGUCUCACGCUCUACAAGACAACCGUCUGCCGAUGUAAAGAUGUUGUUUGCACGCUCAUGUCGGUGGAACUACAAUCCGCUGAAAUGCAUAUGUGCAUGUGGGCAAAAGCUGCCAAUGCUCAAGAUAAGCUAUUAGUUCUUUUGUCCAUUGUCUGCGUUCGCGAAAUACAUGUACCUGUAUGUGCCUGUGCUGUGGCUUUGAUGUUUUUGUAGCAUUUGUUGUACGCCUCAGGAGCACCUUCGCUCUGAAUGCGUAUCGCUGUCGCGUCAUCCUAAGUCCGUGUACCGCGAUUGAUUGUGUUUUGUCAUGCCAUAUGUCCAGUACAUGUGUUCUGUCAGUGUCUUCGCCUCCCGUCAUCAGCUCAUCAUGAUAUUUCCAAUAACGUCAUCACGGAUCGCCGACGCGUUUCCCGACUCGGGAUAAUCAUCAACACGUUGUCCCUUUCUAUACUCCUUACUUGCAUGCUUGGAGUGAGAGGAACGUGUUGUGCUUGUGGAUAUCAUAUUGUCUGUGUACCGUAUUUUAACUAUGUUAAAAAUGGUGCUCAUGACCAUAUUUAUAUUUAUGGCUCUCUCAACGCUGCAGUUUUCUUAAUGGGUCAUUGAUUUAUGACAGAGGCUUUCCAUCAGAGAAGAUCAUGUUUUCUUCGUCAGAGCAGUUUCAGUGUCUCAUUGUCUGUGCAAUCCAAGGCCCAUAACUGUUUGUCCUGUGGUCCAGUUCCAGUUCUGGUUUGGGCCACUGAUCUUGUCCGGGUCUGGCGAGGGUCUGCUCAGAUCUGUUCUGCUCACGCCGCCACCUCUUGCAGCAGUACUUGAUGCCCUUACACCGCAACCAAAUCGCCGACUGCGAAAUGAAUGCAUAGUCGCUGCCUAUUUGUGAGCAAGCCUUCCACAAGUGAAUGAGGUCAAUACAAUGCCGUCCACUGGGCUUUA